GUUUAUUUGUGCAAACAACAAUUUUUGAAUCAGGCAGUCCCAAACCAGAAGUGGCUUGGGAACUCUACUGAGGGAGCACAAGCGGGAGGUUUUUAUAAGACAGAUACAGAAGUAAAGCAAAUAUAAUAUUUGAUUGGUUACAGUUAUACAGUUGCCUUAUUUGAUCUAUCCCAUUGGAAAGUCCCUGGUUAUAUAAUUAUUUGUGCUGGCUGCUUCUCAUUAGUUGCACUUAAGUUUUAUUUUUCUUUAAUAUAGGCAUUUACAAGAAAUAGCUCAAAGGCAGGCAUGGUGACUCACACCUGUAAUCUGAGCACUUUGGGAGGCUGAGGUGGGAGGAUCACUUGAGCCCAGGAGUUGGAGACCAGCUUGGGCAACAUAGCGAGACCUCAUCUCUACAAAAAAUAAAAGAAAAUAUUAGCUGAGUGUGGUGGCAUGCAAUUGUUGUCCCAGCUACUUGGGAGGCUGAAGUGGGAGAAUCGCUUAAGCCAGAAAGGUGGAGGCUGCAGUGAGCCGUGAUUAUGCCACUGCAUUCCAGGCUAGGUGGCAAAGUGAGAUCCUGUCUCAAAAAAAAGAAAAGAAAAGAAAAAAGAAAGAAGGAAGGAAAGAAGGAAGGAAGGAAGGAAAAGGAAGAAAGGAAGGAAGGAAAAAGAAAGAAAAAGGAAGGAAGGAAGGAAGGAAAGAAGAAAGGAAGAGCUCCAGUUUUGCAUGUCUGCAAAUCAAGCAAGGUCUUUUGUUAGAUCUUGCCUGGAGACAUCAAACCCUUCUUCCUGUUCCUCGCCUGCCAGAAACUCAAUCUGCCCUUGCGAGGACUUAUACGUUGAGUUCUUCUGUCAGAAAAAUCAAGUGUAGGAAAAAAAUCUUUGUAUUUCAGUAGAAAACAAUGCACUGUCUGUAGCACACCUUCCUGCAUUAUAAGAUUCUAGGCCUGUACAUUGUCUGAGCUAUUUUGAAACUCUCUGUAAGUUGUAACUGGUAUGUAAAUGCUGUACUGUCUGGUUGUGAUUUUAACUGACUUCUUCCUCACUGUGGAAAACUCAGUUUUGUCCCCAUUUGCAAUUUAUCUUAACAUUCCUUUACUCCAUAUAAAUCUGUUUUUGAGUUUUCCUUUAAACUGGUUAUAACACCUGCUUGCUUUUCUCAGAUCAUAUAAGUGAAGUAAAUUCUUCAACAUGUGCUAAUUUUUACAUCUAUAUGAGAGUCAUGAUUUUACCUUUCACUGAAAAUUAUCAUUUAACACAGGGAAGCCUUUGGGGGGAAGUGGCAGGACUUGGCUUCCAAAGAAGAAUGGACUGAAUCUCUGAGCCCUGUGUCUCUCCCCCAUUUAGGUUUGUGGCCACGCAUUCCUCAACUGCUCAGGCCCCGAAGCAUUCAGGUCAUUCUUGACCCUUCCCUUUCUUGCACCCCCAUCUCCAACCCUGUAUAGGCUACAUAAUGUCUCCCCAAAGCUGUCUACAUCCAAACCCUGGAAGCUGUGAAUGUUUGUUAUCUUACACAGCAAAAGGGACCUUGCAGAUUUGGUUAAAUUAUGGAUUUUGAGAUAGGGAUGGAUUAUCCAGGCAGACCAGUUGUAACUACAGGGAAGCAGAAGCAUCAUAGUCAGAAAAAGGAGAUGUGAGGAUCAAAGCAGGGUUGGAGAGAGGUGCUUUGAAAAUGGAGAAAGUGGGCACAUGCCAAGGAAUGCAGGUGGCCUCUAGAAGCUAGAAAAGGCGGGGGAAUUCUCCCCUCAGAGCCUCGGGAAGGAACCAGUCUUGCUACUCGAUUUUAGCCCCAUAAAACUAUUUUCAGAUUUCCUACCUCCAAAAUGGUAAGGGAAUAAAUUUAUAUUGUUUUAAACCAGUAACUGCAUAAUGUGUUACAAUAGCAAUGGGAAACCUAUACAAAUGCCAUAGUAAAUUACGUUGGCUUCAUCUUCAAAAUGUAGCCAGAAUCCGACCAUUUUUCCCCAGUGCUGCUGUUAGCAUUCGGGGCCAAGCCAGUUCCAUUCCUUGCCUGGGCUGUUGCAAUGGCCUGCAUAUGGGUCUCCUUGUUUACCCUGACCACCCAGCCUUUUCUGCUCCCUGGAGGCAGUAUUUGAGUCUCUCAGUAUUUGAGUCUCUUGAUAUGCUGUCUAGGAGGCCCUCUGGCUUUCACACCUGACACUUUCUCCAGUGCUUCAGUAGCUCCCAGCAAUGGCCAUCCAAUUCCAUUGUCUUUAUAAUGACUACUCAAUAGUUCACACAGGCCUGGUACAUUCCACCCACCAGGGCAUCCCUUGCCUCCAUAUACCAUCCUAGUUCACCAUGCAUGACAGAUUUGACAAUUGCACUGCCUCAGUUUGUUGGGGCUAUUUGUACUUCACCUAUAAUCAGCAGUAGGGCUCUCCUUGCUAGCCAGCUGGCAAGUAAACAGCUCCAAAAUCCCACUGUAAAGUUUGCUUUCUUGGACCACUGCUGGUAUCAGCUGUUGCAGGUCAGGUUCUCUGGAUUCUGACUCAGAGAUGCAGAUUUGCAUGCAGGCAGGUUUUUGGGGAGUGCUCAUGAGAUCAACACCUGUGGGAGAGGGAUGGAAGCAGAUGGAUUCCCGUGGGGAGUGAGGCAGACUGUGGAAAUGCCAUGCAGCCACAACCAAGAUCACUGCUGGCAAUCCCAGAGGGAGCUCUGGAGCUGGGGCAGUGCUUUGGAACUGUCUGCACAGGGCGCAAGAAGGCCAGGCCUUUAUGCCCUACAUUCGUGAGUCAUUGAAUGUAGGCUAAUUCCAAGUAAGGAGUGCUACUUUUUUUCUGUUCGUUUGUUUUUGUUUUUAUUUUUUUCUUGAGAUGGAGUCUUGCUCUGUCACCCAGGCUGGAGUGCAGUGGCGCAAUCUCUGCUCACUGCAACCUCCACCUCCCGAGUUCAAGCGAUUCUCCUGCCUCAGCCUCCUGAGUAGCUGGGAUUACAGGCGUGCACCACCAUGCCUGGCUAAUUUUUUGUAUUUUUAGUAGAGACGGGGUUUCUCCAUGUUGGCCAGGCUGGUCUCCAACUCAUUACUUCAGGUGAUCUGCCCACCUUGGCCUCCCAAAGUGCUGAGAUUGCAGGCGUGAGCCACCACGCCUGUCCAGGAGUGCUACAUUGAACAAGGCAGCGCUCUUCAGCCAUGAGCAACCCUUGGAGAGGGACUCACCUGAGAGCUUUUGGCCACCAACAUUCAGGAUGAGUUCUGAAAGGGGUGGGAGGGGAGCAUGUCUGAGUGCCAAACUGUAGCAUCUAUCACAGUGAACUUUGAUAGAAGUUACAUUAGAUUUUACCACUAUCCUCCUUAAAUUCCUCCAAUGGCUUAAAAUGAAAUCCAUGGGUAACAGACCCUACAUACUCUGGCUACUGAUUACCUUCAGAAGUAUCUUCUCCUUCUGGCUUAUGUGCUGCAGCUAUAUUAGCCUUCUCUCUUGCCAUUUGCUCAACAAAUAUUUAUUGAAUAUUAACUAUGGACCAAUGUUCUAUAUUGGGGCUAGAACUGUGGACCAUAAGCUAAAUUGUGGGACUGUUUUUGUAAAUAAAGUUUUAUUGGAACACAGU
rnacentral:lncRNA from 1 species